UGGAAAUGUUCCGUUAAAUAUAGUUUUUGUUAACUUUAUUGAAACUACUGUGCAAAACGUGGUUUUAUUUAGGUUCACUUGAAUAGCACCACCCCCUAUAUUAUCAGUUUUCGUGUGGAUUACAAGCCAGUCAAAAUGGGUCGUGGUAAAUCAUUGGCAGAGAACGAGAAAUCUAAAAUUAAAGCUUAUCGCGAGUGUGGCCUGUCUAUUCACCAAAUAGCUAAAAAAACGCUACGAAGCCGCAAAGUUAUAUCCACAUUUUUACGGAACGAGUCAAGCUAUGGUAAAAAUAUGAAAGGCCGAACGUCUAGUGUCGUUAGCGCUGCUGACAAAAGAGCAAUCCUGCGACUCGCGUCAAAUUCGCAUGAUUCUGCCCCCAAAAUAAAAGAAAAAAGUGGUGUCAAAGCAAGUGUAUCUACCGUAAAACGGGUAAUUUCUAAUGCUACACACUUAAAAAGAUUAAAGCUUAAGAAAAAACCACCGCUUAACCCGUCCCGUAAAGAGCAACGCCUUAGUUUCUGUCGUGCUAACAUGAC